GCGUGGCCUCUCCGCGGGCCCGGGGGCUCCGAGGCCGGGGCGAGGCCCGGUGAGACCCGCGCGCGGCCGGAGCGGGUGGAGGCCCGCCUGGGAGGUGGGGAGUGGGGGAGGGGGGAGGGAGGAAGGAGGAGGAGGAGGAGGAGGGGACAACUUCUUGUCCCUUAUUAAGUCACCUGGGAGGGCGACUGAUCCGUGUCCUUUGUACAGAACCGCGGGAGAAAACGGAGGCUCAAACGGAGGCCGGCGGGGGUCGAGGCUGGACGGUGUGGGGUGGGGGAGGCAGUUCUGCCACGAGGACAAUUUUUUUUGGGGGUGGGAGUGUGACUUAAGACAGGUGCGGAGUCCUUGAGGAAGGGUCCCCAACGCCACCAGCCUUUAGCCUCGAAUCCCUGGCGGCAGGGUAGAGGCCCAAAGAGGAGGCCCAGCCUCCUCCGGGAGUGGAGGCUUGAGGGCGCGCGCAGCGUCCGAUUCUUGUGCCGCGCGCGCAAAUUCCUGACGUCUCCCGGCUGUGUGUUUUGGAGUCUCCUGUUUUUCGGGGCCUCUCCCGAAGCCACCGCAGCGCGGCUCGGGGACAAGGACAGGACCGGGCCCCCGCCGCUGGAGCGCGGACGCCCGGGUGACCCGGACGCGGGGAGGAAGAUCGGGACGCCUGGAGGCCACAGCGGAACCUCCCGGGCCUCCUCCGCUGAGUCGCGCUGGAGGUCGCAGGGUCUUCUCAUCAAGCCUCCCUCCUCGGCGACCCUGCCACUGCGACCUCCACCCCCUCCGAAAAGCCAUCGAUCCCUCUCGACACCCGGCCGCCACCGUGGAACCCAGAGACGCGCGACAAGUUGUAAAUAAACCCGUUUUUUUCUUUCGUCGUUAGAAAAAAACGCAAUUCGUUUGCAAUUUGUCAACCCGCCUGGGGGGAAAAAAAAACGCUCUCUACCGGGCCUACCUGGUUUUCUCUCCGCAAAUCCUGGCUCACGGGGCCCGCGUAGACGCGGACGUUCCCGAAUCCCGGGUUGGUGAGGGGGCAGAGGGGGGGAACGAAGGCGUUUUUUUUUUGUUUUUUUGCGGGUUUUUUGUUGUUGUUGUUAUUUUGCGUUUUUUGGUUGUUUUUUUUUUUUUGCUUUUUUCCAAAACAACGAAUUUCCUUCCUCGUUUUCCGGUCAAGGAGAGGUGAGGACGGCCACACCCCAAGCAAAGGGGGCCCUGAGCGCCGAGCCUUUUCCCCUCUCCUUCUCUGUCUCGUUGUGAGUUCGAGGCUGGCCACCGCGCAAUGAAAGAUUCCAAACGGCCCGGGUUUGAUUGAACACGGAUCCGGGCGCUGUUGUCCGCGUCUACGCGGGGAACCGAGAGGCUGCAGCCUCCCCAUUCUUAUGGAAAUGCCACUAAACGGAUUGUGACUCGAGUUUGGGGGCCGCUGGGGGAUGCAAGGGGGGAAACU
rnacentral:lncRNA from 1 species